AGCAGCCGCGGUAAUUCCAGCUCCAAUAGCGUAUAUUAAAGUUGUUGCAGUUAAAAAGCUCGUAGUUGAAUUUCGGGGUCAGUAGGUUGGUCAUGCCACUGGUAUGUACUGGCCUCACUGAUUCCUCCUUCCUGAUGAGCCGUAAUGCCAUUAAUUUGGUGUUGCGAGGAAUCUGGACUGUUACUUUGAAAAAUUAGAGUGUUUAAAGCAGGCUAACGCUUGAAUACAUUAGCAUGGAAUAAUGAAAUAGGACGUUCGAUCUUAUUUUGUUGGUUUCUAAGAUUGACGUAAUGAUUAAUAGGGAUAGUUGGGGCAUUAGUAUUCAAUUGUCAGAGGUGAAAUUCUUGGAUUUAUUGAAGACUAACUACUGCGAAAG
rnacentral:rRNA from 1 species